rnacentral:rRNA from 1 species
GCAGCCGCCGCGGGAAUACGUAGGGUGCAAGCGUUAAUCGGAAUUACUGGGCGUAAAGCGUGCGCAGGCGGUUAUAUAAGACAGAUGUGAAAUCCCCGGGCUCAACCUGGGAACUGCAUUUGUGACUGUAUAGCUAGAGUACGGCAGAGGGGGAUGGAAUUCCGCGUGUAGCAGUGAAAUGCGUAGAUAUGCGGAGGAACACCGAUGGCGAAGGCAAUCCCCUGGGCCUGUACUGACGCUCAUGCACGAAAGCGUGGGGAGCAAACAGGAUUAGAUACCCCCGUAGUCCCUGUCUCUUAUAC